rnacentral:rRNA from 1 species
UGCAGUCGACGCUUCUUUUUCCACCGGAGCUUGCUCCACCGGAAAAAGAGGAGUGGCGAACGGGUGAGUAACACGUGGGUAACCUGCCCAUCAGAAGGGGAUAACACUUGGAAACAGGUGCUAAUACCGUAUAACAAUCAAAACCGCAUGGUUUUGAUUUGAAAGGCGCUUUCGGGUGUCGCUGAUGGAUGGACCCGCGGUGCAUUAGCUAGUUGGUGAGGUAACGGCUCACCAAGGCCACGAUGCAUAGCCGACCUGAGAGGGUGAUCGGCCACAUUGGGACUGAGACACGGCCCAGACUCCUACGGGAGGCAGCAGUAGGGAAUCUUCGGCAAUGGACGAAAGUCUGACCGAGCAACGCCGCGUGAGUGAAGAAGGUUUUCGGAUCGUAAAACUCUGUUGUUAGAGAAGAACAAGGACGUUAGUAACUGAACGUCCCCUGACGGUAUCUAACCAGAAAGCCACGGCUAACUACGUGCCAGCAGCCGCGGUAAUACGUAGGUGGCAAGCGUUGUCCGGAUUUAUUGGGCGUAAAGCGAGCGCAGGCGGUUUCUUAAGUCUGAUGUGAAAGCCCCCGGCUCAACCGGGGAGGGUCAUUGGAAACUGGGAGACUUGAGUGCAGAAGAGGAGAGUGGAAUUCCAUGUGUAGCGGUGAAAUGCGUAGAUAUAUGGAGGAACACCAGUGGCGAAGGCGGCUCUCUGGUCUGUACUGACGC